UCAGAACUUACUAAAAAAUUGUUAACGUCAUUAUAAUUUUAAUUGAAUAGAAUUACAUUCUAUUCUAUGUAACCCAAACCAUAUAUGAGCCCAUUUCAACGACUCACUGCUAAGUAGAAAUUUAGAACACUGCUCGGAGACAAUUAAAUAGUAACAACUGCAUAAGUUGUACAUAAAUAUUAUAUUCAAGUGACCAUCACCUUUCGUGCUGGCCUGCUUGUUCACCUUUUCUCUCUUCAUUUUGUCCGGCUCCUCUAAGGCCUUCAUUCUCUAACCUAAAUUGAAAUAUAAAAUUUGUGGCUGAGUAAGGCAAAAUGUCAAAAAAAGAAGUACUACAUCAAUAAUAUAAGAAUAGAAUAGACAAAUGUGCUCACUCAAUCUGAUUAGGUCCUCUAGACAAACCAAUGCUCUCCCCGUUCUUUCUGAGAAAUAAAUUAAUACAAAGAACAAAUGAGUGUUGGUUAGAACAUAACAAUAUCAUAAAUAAUUCAUGGUAAGUAGAGUGAUACCCUGAGCAAUGAAGGAGACGGGGCUUAAUAGGUUUCCACUUAGGCGUACUGAAUUUGGGGAAAAUACUGGAGAUGGUUCAGAAGGUUGUGGUAGUUUAAGAGGAAAUGAUUCUGAUGAAGAUAUGUUGAACAUAGCUUUAAAGAGAGAAAUAAGAGAAUUUGAGGGAAUUUGGAAAAAAUGAAAAAGAGGAUGAAAUUACUGUUGAUGAGAAGGUAGAUUGAGACGGGUUUAUUUGGUCAAAGAAUCCUAUUGAAGAUAAUGAUGCAAAUCAGGUAAGUACAAUUAAUCUUUAGUUAACACUUUAAAAAUAAUUUUACCUAUUAAUUUUCCCAAUACCCUUGUUUUUUCUUGUUCACUCCUAUAAAGUUUCUUUUUCUUUUCUUUCGAUAUGCACCUCUUAUUCGGCUAAUCACCCCACUCGAAGAAGGAACUUCGUGGUGGUGAAACAAAUUUUGUACAAAACAUUAAAUAAAAUUAAACAUUAGUAAAUCAAUACUAAUAUAUAAUAAGGUGUGAUUAGUAUUCACAUCCAAUUGAAUCUGAGCUUUGUUCCUCUAUUAUUCGCAUUAUUAUGCUUGCACAAAGGCUUUCUAGGCCUGAAAUUGCAACUCUUUUUUCGAGAUUAUAGUCUUCAUCUUUUUUGGGUGAAUUGUCUUGAUAGUUUUCUUCUUCAACUAAUUCAGCAACUUUACUGUUACGAUCCUGAAAUAGAUGAAAUAAAUAAAAAAAAUGAAAGAAAGCACAGACAAGUGAAAGUGAUUCUAUAAGUCAGCCUCACCUCAUUCUAUUUCAAUCAAACAGAAGCUAUCCCACAAAAAAUGAAAAGAAAAAUAGCACAAAUAUGAAACUAUAACAGAAAAAACGAAACCAAAAAAAGGUUUGAAAUGAGAAAAUAUAGUAUUGAAAAACUAAACAAAGACUAAUAAAAACUCUUAUUUUGCUUUAACACAUAAAUAUUAUAUAUAUCAGAUGUGGCUUUUGAUGCUAUAGACCCAUUCACAAUUUUGUAAUUGUACAUAUUAUUUACAUGAUAAUAACAUAUGAUGCUUGUUAAUACCAAAUAAUUGUCUCAUAACCAAUUUAAAAUUUGUGGACUCUUGGCAAUUAUGCAGACUUAUAAUAAUUGAUCAAACAAAUCAUUUUCCCCAAUAAUAAAAUAAAAUGAUCAACUUUUCUUUAGGCCGGAGAAAAAGAGCUACAUAUUACAAAUUACUCUUCAUGAUAUUUUAUCAAACAUGCCAAUUAUGAUAAUGAACAUAUAUGGAGAAGUAGCCAUACAUAUAGACAUGAAUAAAAACCCCUUUUUUGCUUUAACACUUACAAAUAUUAAAUAUAUUUUUGAUGCUAUAGACCCAUUAACAAUUUUAUAAUUGCAUAUAUUAUUUACAUGAUAAUAACAUAUGAUGCUUGUUAAUACCAAAUAAAUGAGAAAUAAUUGGCUCAUAACCAAUUUAAAAUUUGUGGACUCUUGUCAAAUAUUCAGUCUUAUAAUAAUUGAUCAAACAAAUCAUUUCUCCAAGUAAUAAAAUGACAUGAUCAAACUUUUCUUUAGUCUGGAGAAAAAGAGCAUGAAAAACAACCCACAUAUUGCAAAUUACUCUUCAUGAUAUAUAUUUUAUCAACAAUACCAAUUAUCAAAAAUGAUAAUGAACAUAUAUGGAGCAGUAGAUAUACAUAUAGACAUGCAUAGAUUCUAUUUUUCUUACUUUUUUGUAGUGCUUUAUGAAAGCCAUUCAUAAAAUGGAAACUAUAAUUGAAAACAUCAAGCAAAUAUGUUCAAAUUUGAAAACAAAUGGGUAACUUGCAACUAUAUAAUGGAAGUAAAGAAACUUAAACGAUUAUACUUUGGAUAAAUUAUUAACUACGCAUGCUAUCAAACAUAUAUUUUCAAGAACAACAAUUAAUUAAAAAUCAAUUUCCAAAUUAAGUUAACUAAAACUACCGAAAAAAUAUUAUUUAUGUAUAGAUCUAACCUAUUUUUCCUCUCAUUCAAGUGUGAUGUCAAAACCUUACCUAAUUGAUGAUUCCAACAUAGCGGAAGUCAUUUUUGAACUUGAAGAUUAGAUUAGUUAUUGGGGCAUUCAACCUCGAAUUGGGACUAAUAAACAGUUCAAGAAGUUGGAAUCAUCUUUUAAUUGAAAUCAAUUGAUUCACCGAGUCACCUUCUAAUUUGCUUCUAAAUUUCAAUCUGCAUGUUGUCAUAUGUUUCAAUACAGACCAAGUUUAUAGUUUUCUUCAACGAUUUGAGUGAGAUAAACGGGAGGGAAAUCAGAGAUAUCAAAAGUUUUCUCUCUCAUCAUCUUCUCCACGUCUGCUUUCUUCAAGAUAGUCCUGCGAAUCGGGGGGCCGGUUCCAGCGAGUAAUUGAAUUUGUUGAAAGGGAGAAAAAUUUAAAAGUUUCGGGGAGAUGAAAGAAAGGUGAAGGUGAAGAUGUUGGGGCAAGCAGCGAAGAUCUGAGAUCCGAAGAUUGAGGCUGAUGGGCUUAUGACAAAACCGCCUUCAAAUUGCUUUGGGAGCUGGAAUUGGUGUUUUUGUGGUGGAGAGGGAGGGAUCAAGAGAGGAUUUGGGUGAAUUUAUAGAGGCGGCGAUAAAGAGAUGGAUAAAUGAAGAGGAAAAGGAAACAAAAAAAAUUUGAAUCCGUUCGUCUUUGAAGAAGAGGAGUCGACUGAUUUUGAAGAAGAAGAGAAGAUGAGUUGACAAACAAAAUAAAUCAAAUGUACCGAGUUA
rnacentral:lncRNA from 1 species